rnacentral:rRNA from 1 species
AUUGAACGCUGGCGGCAUGCUUUACACAUGCAAGUCGGACGGCAGCACAGAGAAGCUUGCUUCUUGGGUGGCGAGUGGCGAACGGGUGAGUAACAUAUCGGAACGUACCGAGUAAUGGGGGAUAACUAAUCGAAAGAUUAGCUAAUACCGCAUAUUCUCUGAGGAGGAAAGCAGGGGACCUUCGGGCCUUGCGUUAUUCGAGCGGCCGAUAUCUGAUUAGCUAGUUGGUGGGGUAAAGGCCUACCAAGGCGACGAUCAGUAGCGGGUCUGAGAGGAUGAUCCGCCACACUGGGACUGAGACACGGCCCAGACUCCUACGGGAGGCAGCAGUGGGGAAUUUUGGACAAUGGGCGCAGGCCUGAUCCAGCCAUGCCGCGUGUCUGAAGAAGGCCUUCGGGUUGUAAAGGACUUUUGUCAGGGAAGAAAAGGCUGUUGCUAAUAUCGACAGCUGAUGACGGUACCUGAAGAAUAAGCACCGGCUAACUACGUGCCAGCAGCCGCGGUAAUACGUAGGGUGCGAGCGUUAAUCGGAAUUACUGGGCGUAAAGCGAGCGCAGACGGUUACUUAAGCAGGAUGUGAAAUCCCCGGGCUCAACCUGGGAACUGCGUUCUGAACUGGGUGACUAGAGUGUGUCAGAGGGAGGUAGAAUUCCACGUGUAGCAGUGAAAUGCGUAGAGAUGUGGAGGAAUACCGAUGGCGAAGGCAGCCUCCUGGGAUAACACUGACGUUCAUGCUCGAAAGCGUGGGUAGCAAACAGG